rnacentral:rRNA from 1 species
AUUGAACGCUGGCGGCGUGCUUAACACAUGCAAGUCGAUCGGUAACAGGUGUAGCAAUACAUGCUGACGAGAGGCGGACGGGUGAGUAAUGCUUGGGAAUCUGCCUAUUAGUGGGGGACAACCCGGGGAAACUCGGGCUAAUACCGCAUACGCUCUACGGAGGAAAGCCGGGGACCGCAAGGCCUGGCGCUAAUAGAUGAGCCCAAGUCGGAUUAGCUAGUUGGUAGGGUAACGGCCUACCAAGGCGACAAUCCGUAGCUGGUCUGAGAGGACGACCAGCCACACCGGAACUGAGACACGGUCCGGACUCCUACGGGAGGCAGCAGUGGGGAAUAUUGGACAAUGGGGGCAACCCUGAUCCAGCGACGCCGCGUGGGUGAAGAAGGCCUGC